rnacentral:rRNA from 1 species
AUUGAACGCUGGCGGCAUGCCUUACACAUGCAAGUCGAACGGCAGCACGGGUGCUUGCACCUGGUGGCGAGUGGCGAACGGGUGAGUAAUACAUCGGGACAUGUCCUGUAGUGGGGGAUAGCCCGGCGAAAGCCGGAUUAAUACCGCAUACGAUCUACGGAUGACAGCGGGGGACCUUCGGGCCUCGCGCUAUAGGGUUGGCCGAUGGCUGAUUAGCUAGUUGGUGGGGUAAAGGCCUACCAAGGCGACGAUCAGUAGCUGGUCUGAGAGGACGACCAGCCACACUGGGACUGAGACACGGCCCAGACUCCUACGGGAGGCAGCAGUGGGGAAUUUUGGACAAUGGGCGAAAGCCUGAUCCAGCAAUGCCGCGUGUGUGAAGAAGGCCUUCGGGUUGUAAAGCACUUUUGUCCGGAAAGAAAUACUUGGCCCUAAUACGGUCGGGGGAUGACGGUACCGGAAGAAUAAGCACCGGCUAACUACGUG